GGAGGCUAGGGUCUUUCCCCUCCAGUCCCACAGGGUACAGUAAAGAAUACCAAUACCUAACCCAGUCAGAGGAUCUAACUUUCCAUGAUCUUAUCCAACUGUCUCCUAGCAAUGAAAACAAGGUUACUGAAGAUUUAAAUUAUCCCAACAGGUAAACAAAUCUUUAAGGGAGAAGGUUUAAAAGAACAUUAUGUCAAGCUGGUGUUCUCCAAACUAAAGUUGUAUGGACCAUGUCUGUUAAAUUGCUUGCAGAAGUUCCUGCAAGAUCAGAUACACAAAUUCACCAACAGUUGGUCAAUCAACAUCUUCUCCUUCAAGAAUACCAGCCCCUGACUCCCAAGAAAGAGACCUAUGACUCGAGGUCAAUUGUUCCAACUCCAGAGACUCUGCCCCACCUAAAACCCUUCCUGACCCACUUCAUAGGAAUGAGAUUCUUUGUCCCUAACCAGCAGGUAGAAGCUACAGAAGAAAGACCAUCACCCUCUGCAACCCUGUAUCUAUAAAAACAAAAAGGGAAGAUUAUUGGCAUGAGAUCAAUAUUGGCAUCAGAUCUGCCAUUUUAGGCUGAGGGUCAUUUUUAUUUAGGGACUCCGAAGUUUUGAUUUAGGAGCCGUUUUACUCAGGGCCUCCCAGGUUUCAAUUUAGGAGCCAUUUUAUCUAGGGACUCCCAGGAUGCGAUUCUGAAUGUGCCUGCUCAAAGGUUAACCCCACCCCAGCCCAUGACGCAACCCUUAACGUUGCUUGUUGCUGCUCCCCAGGAAGGACAGCCUUGUCAGUUUGCUCCAUGCUACUGACAAUAAAUUCCUCGCAUGGGAUUCCAAUGUGUGGUGUGGUCCUUGGACUUCGCAAGUGUCCUUUCAGAGAGGUUUCUUUCUUUGUACUUGUGAUCCUCCUCCCUCAGACUCUGAGUUGCUGGGAUUACAGGUGUGUGCCACCAUGCCAGGCUGGGCAUCUCGACUUGGAAAUGACCUUGCAAACUCUGAAUAAUUUUCUGUGGUUUAUAAGCUACCCACAGUGUGAUGAUGUUUGUAACAGCAGUCUGAAUGUACCAAGAUACUAGGGCUUUAGUAAACAGAUUUCUAGUCUAGUCUAGAGGUCAGUGUCAGAGAUGAGAAUACAUGUGACUUGCUGAGCAGUAGAUGUGGGAUUUUGACACUCAGGUGUGGGCAACAUUCUCACAGCAUAGCCCUCCUUUGAAGAGUGUCUAGGUGCUUGGAGGAGAGAAGACAGAAAGUACUGGGAGGCGAGGUGAGAAAGGGAGGAAUAUACUCAGGCCCAAUGGAGGACAGAGGGCAUCCACUGGGUUCACCCAUCCACAGCUUCCUGGGGGGAUUUACUGAGUGUGUCUAAUGAGAAAGGAUCCAUGGAAGCCUGGGCAAUGACCAUCAUGAGGUCAGUUCUUCAUUAGCCUUGGCUGAAUGGACAAAUGAAGAGUGGACGAAGAGCUAUGUGAAUGAGAGGGUCAAACCUGGCUCCAGUGUCGGCAAGAGAGGAAAACACAGACCCCACCUGCAUGUAGCCCUUCCCUUCCUCCUUCCAGGAAAGUUCUGGAGGCCCUGCUGUUGGAGUUCAGUCACUGCAAAAUUCUUCUGCUGCUGGAGUGGAGUCAGUCAAAGAUUCUUCACCAGAAUGCCUAGUGAGGCCAUGAGAGUGGGAACACUGCUCUUGAGACCCCACAAGUGUAGAACCAUUGGCAGUGUGCAAAGCCAGCCUAGGAAAGCCACAGGUCAUGGCAUGCAGCCCAGGAGAGCAGCCAUGUGGGCUGCAAGCAGCAUCACCCCAGGGGAGGGGCUGCCCAAGGCCCUGGGGACCAGUCCACUGCCCUAUGUCUAGGAGGCUGAGCUUGGAGUUUGGGGAUCUAGUGUCUUGUUUGGUUGUUUUCAGACUUGCUGGUGGUCUGGGAGCCCUUUCUACUUGCUAUUCCUCCUUUUUGCCACAGAACUGUCUGCCCUGUGCCUGUUUCAAGG